rnacentral:rRNA from 1 species
GACGAACGCUGACGGCGUGCUUAACACAUGCAAGUCGAAGGGAGUGGCGAACGGGUGAGUAACACGGGAGUAACCUGCCCUUUUCUUUGGGAUAAGCCUGGGAAAGUGGGUCUAAUACUGGAUGGAUUGGGAUGGGCUCGCGGCUUAUCAGCUUGUUGGUGGGGUGAUGGGUUACCAAGGCUUUGACGGGUAGCCGGCCUGGGCGGGUGGUCGGUCACACAUGGACUGACCAACGGCCCAGACUCCUCCGGGAGGCGGCAGUUGCGGAUAGUGCCGAAUGGCCGAAAGUCUGAUGCCGCGUCGUCGUGGGGGGGCUGAGGUCCGUCGGUUUGUAAACUCCUUUCGGCCGCUGAAUGGUAGUUGGUCAAGAAGCGCCGGCUAACUACGUGCCAGCAGCCGCGGUAAUUC